rnacentral:rRNA from 1 species
UAACACAUGCAAGUCGAGCGGUAAGGCCCUUCGGGGUACACGAGCGGCGAACGGGUGAGUAACACGUGAGCAAUCUGCCCUUCUCUUUGGAAUAACCAUUGGAAACGAUGGCUAAUGCCGAAUAUGAACCCCUUUCGCAUGUUGGGGGUUGGAAAGCUCCGGCGGAGAAGGAUGAGCUCGCGGCCUAUCAGCUUGUUGGUGAGGUAAUGGCUCACCAAGGCAUUGACGGGUAGCCGGCCUGAGAGGGUGACCGGCCACACUGGGACUGAGACACGGCCCAGACUCCUACGGGAGGCAGCAGUGGGGAAUAUUGGACAAUGGGCGAAAGCCUGAUCCAGCAACGCCGCGUGAGGGAUGACGGCCUUCGGGUUGUAAACCUCUUUCAGCAGGGACGAAGCGAGAGUGACGGUACCUGCAGAAGAAGGACCGGCCAACUACGUGCCAGCAGCCGCGGUAAUACGUAGGGUCCGAGCGUUGUCCGGAAUUAUUGGGCGUAAAGGGCUCGUAGGCGGUUUGUCGCGUCGGGAGUGAAAACUCAGGGCUCAACCCUGAGCGUGCUUCCGAUACGGGCAGACUAGAGGUAUGCAGGGGAGAACGGAAUUCCUGGUGUAGCGGUGGAAUGCGCAGAUAUCAGGAGGAACACCGGUGGCGAAGGCGGUUCUCUGGGCAUUACCUGACGCUGAGGAGCGAAAGCAUGGGGAGCGAACAGGAUUAGAUACCCUGGUAGUCCAUGCCGUAAACGUUGGGCGCUAGGUGUGGGGACCUUCCACGGUCUCCGUGCCGCAGCUAACGCAUUAAGCGCCCCGCCUGGGGAGUACGGCCGCAAGGCUAAAACUCAAAGGAAUUGACGGGGGCCCGCACAAGCGGCGGAGCAUGCUGAUUAAUUCGAUGCAACGCGAAGAACCUUACCUGGGUUUGACAUAUACCGGGAAAGCUGCAGAGAUGUAGCCCCC